AGGUCCCUGCGAUCAGUUGAACUGUCCUUCUUACACUACUUGUGAGAUGAUUCCAGGUGUAGGUACAAAUUCAUCUAUGUCCAUGUUUCCUUUCUGCCUCCCGUCCUGUGAGCUGGAGAAUGGUGGAUGUGCUGAGGACGAGAUCUGUUCUCUUGUGGAACAACUUUGCCCUUCUAAUGGACCUUGUCCAACUACUGUGCAGUGCUCUCCUGCAGGUCCCUGCGAUCAGUUGAACUGCCCUUCUUACACUACUUGUGAGAUGAUUCCAGGUGUAGGUACAAAUUCAUCUAUAUCCAUGUUUCCUUUCUGCCUUCUGUCCUGUGAGCUGGAGAAUGGUGGAUGUGCUGAAGACGAGAUCUGUUCUCUUAUGGAACAACUUUGCCCUUCUAAUGGACCUUGUCCAACUACUGUGCAGUGCUCUCCUGCAGGUCCCUGCGAUCAGUUGAACUGUCCUUCUUACACUACUUGUGAGAUGAUUCCAGGUGUAGGUACAAAUUCAUCUAUAUCCAUGUUUCCCUUUUGCCUCCCGUCCUGUGAGUUGGAGAAUGGUGGAUGUGCUGAGGACGAGGUCUGUUCUCUUGUGCAACAACUUUGCCCUUCUAAUGGGCCUUGUCCAACUACUGUGCAGUGCUCUCCUGCAGGUCCCUGUGAUCAGUUGAACUGCCCUUCUUACACUACUUGUGAGAUGAUUCCAGGUGUAGGUACAAAUUCAUCUAUAUCCAUGUUUCCUUUCUGCCUCCCGUCCUGUGAGUUGGAGAAUGGUGGAUGUGCUGAGGACGAGGUCUGUUCUCUUGUGGAACAACUUUGCCCUUCUAAUGGACCUUGUCCAACUACUGUGCAGUGCUCUCCUGCAGGUAAUCGCUUGUUAAUAGAGUUAGUGUAAAAGCUCCUAUAAGAGUGUGUCCCCAUGCACCCUCACCUUAAUUGUAUAUAUAGUGUCUGACAUUGAGAGUGUAUUCGUACCUCUGUCCAGGUCCCUGCGAUCAGUUGAACUGUCCUUCUUACACUACUUGUGAGAUGAUUCCAGGUGUAGGUACAAAUUCAUCUAUGUCCAUGUUUCCUUUCUGCCUCCCGUCCUGUGAGCUGGAGAAUGGUGGAUGUGCUGAGGACGAGAUCUGUUCUCUUGUGGAGCAACUUUGCCCUUCUAAUGGACCUUGUCCAACUACUGUGCAGUGCUCUCCUGCAGGUCCCUGCGAUCAGUUGAACUGCCCUUCUUACACUACUUGUGAGAUGAUUCCAGGUGUAGGUACAAAUUCAUCUAUAUCCAUGUUUCCUUUCUGCCUUCUGUCCUGUGAGCUGGAGAAUGGUGGAUGUGCUGAAGACGAGAUCUGUUCUCUUAUGGAACAACUUUGCCCUUCUAAUGGACCUUGUCCAACUACUGUGCAGUGCUCUCCUGCAGGUCCCUGCGAUCAGUUGAACUGUCCUUCUUACACUACUUGUGAGAUGAUUCCAGGUGUAGGUACAAAUUCAUCUAUAUCCAUGUUUCCCUUCUGCCUCCCGUCCUGUGAGUUGGAGAAUGGUGGAUGUGCUGAGGACGAGAUCUGUUCUCUUGUGGAACAACUUUGCCCUUCUAAUGGGCCUUGUCCAACUACUGUGCAGUGCUCUCCUGCAGGUCCCUGUGAUCAGUUGAACUGCCCUUCUUACACUACUUGUGAGAUGAUUCCAGGUGUAGGUACAAAUUCAUCUAUAUCCAUGUUUCCUUUCUGCCUCCCGUCCUGUGAGUUGGAGAAUGGUGGAUGUGCUGAGGACGAGGUCUGUUCUCUUGUGGAACAACUUUGCCCUUCUAAUGGACCUUGUCCAACUACUGUGCAGUGCUCUCCUGCAGGUAAUCGCUUGUUAAUAGAGUUAGUGUAAGAGCUCCUAUAAGAGUGUGUCCCCAUGCACCCUCACCUUAAUUGUAUAUAUAUAAUAGUGUCUGACAUUGAGAGUGUAUUCGUACCUCUGUCUAGGUCCCUGCGAUCAGUUGAAUUGUCCUUCUUACACUACUUGUGAGAUGAUUCCAGGUGUAGGUACAAAUUUAUCUAUAUCCAUGUUUCCUUUCUGCCUCCCGUCCUGUGAGCUGGAGAAUGGUGGAUGUGCUGAGGACGAGAUCUGUUCUCUUGUGGAACAACUUUGCCCUUCUAAUGGACCUUGUCCAACUACUGUGCAGUGCUCUCCUGCAGGUCCCUGCGAUCAGUUGAACUGCCCUUCUUACACUACUUGUGAGAUGAUUCCAGGUGUAGGUACAAAUUCAUCUAUAACCAUGUUUCCUUUCUGCUUCCCAUCCUGUGAGUUGGAGAAUGGUGGAUGUGCUGAGGACGAGGUCUGUUCUCUUGUGGAUCAACUUUGCCCUUCUAAUGGACCUUGUCCCACUACUGUGCAGUGCUCUCCUGCAGAUCCUUGCAGUACAUUUAGAUGCCAAAGGGGCUACAGGUGCCAAGUGUACGAGCCAACCAAUGAGGCGUACUGUGAGCCAGCAUGUGACCUGUUCAAUGGCGGGUGUACUACAGGAACCUACUGUAUUCUUCGCCGGGACCGUGAUUGCAAUGAGGGGCCGUGUCCAUCUCUAAAAAGCUGUUGUUUUUUCCCACGCUGUGACAUGCACGUCUGUAGCGCUAGGGAAACCAGGAGAAGCCCAUGCAUUAUUGAUGCAGAGGAUUCCCAAUGUGAUGAAGAGGAGUGUCCAUUUACUUACUGUCGUAAUUGUUACUUCUCGUCCCAAAAUCAGCCAUUGCCAGGCAACUGUGGGACAUGUAAUGAAAACAGUGUCAAUAAUAAAUGUACUAAAAGAUGGGCAACUUGCACCAGAAGAGCACAUUUUGCUGCUUAUGGACAGCCAUGGCCUAGUCAGUCUUCUCUAAGGAAGGAGGAGGACUUUCGCUGUCACAUACCUCCAUGUUAAUGAACUGGCAUUGUCACUCUGACAGACUAUAAGAAACAAUUUAUAUGGUUAUAUUAGAAAGAGAACUGAGAAUUCGCUCUUUGAGUACAUAAUAUACAAUUAAUGUCGAACAGUGCUAUUUUGCCAAAACA